rnacentral:rRNA from 1 species
UUUCCCCGCCUAUAUACCGCCGUCGUCAGCUUACCCUGUGAAGGGCCAAUAGUAAGCGCAAUUGGCACAGCCCAAAACGCCAGGUCGAGGUGUAGCGUAUGGAGGGGGAAGAAAUGGGCUACAUUCAGUGAACCACUGAACACGGAAGGCGGGCUGAAACGCUCGCCCGAAGGAGGAUUUAGCAGUAAGCAGGAAAUAGAGCGUCCCGCUGAAACCGGCCCUGAAGCGCGUACACACCGCCCGUCACUCUCCCCGAAACAAAACACACAUAUACCUAAGACCCAAUCAUCAGAAAGGGGAGGCAAGUCGUAACAUGGUAAGUGUACCGGAAGGUGCACUUGGAAAAAAU